CCUCAAUCAUCUGCAAGACAGUCUGCUGAAGUUCUGAAGAUCUGAAGGUCUGAUCACUGUAACCAUGCUGAAGGAAGUAUUUGUGCUUGGAUGCCUCCUGAGCCUCGCUCUGGCUCAACCUAUGGAGGAAGCACACAAACGAGUUGCUCGGUCAGACUCUAGCUCUAGCUCUGACUCUGAUGAGGCUACAACUACAACUGCAACUACAACAGCAGCUGCAACAGUGAGUCCCCAACUGCUCCAGAUCCUUCUUCAGCUCCUACAACAACUUGCAACCACCACUGCUGCACCUACAACCACCACUGCUGCACCUACAACCACCACUGUAGCUACUACUACUACAGCUCCUCCAUAAUCACACAGUUAACCUAAAAAUAGUAUUGUCAUGACGCUGUCUUAACCUGAGUGUCAAUAGCAGCUGGUUCAACAACAGUUGAUCAGCUCAUUCUUCAGCUUUUACGGCAAUUAACUACUACUGCAGCGCUGACUAUUAUACUGAAUCAGCUACUUCUACCACAAGAUAAAGUCUUAAAAUCAUCCAGAGAUCCAUAAGUCAGUGACAACCAGUUUUGAAUAACAUUGUUUUUUAACAACUGCUUUGUUUUUCAGCCAGUUUGUCAUGACAGCUGUUUUCUUUCUCUGUAUUCUCUGUACUGCCUGCUUAAUAAAUUUCACAAAUGCAAAACCUGAACUGAGUAUGUCUGUUUGUCAUGUUUUUCAUAUGAGACACACUGAUAAAGCUGUGUAGAAAGGUGUGAAUCAUAG
rnacentral:lncRNA from 1 species